rnacentral:rRNA from 1 species
AUGAUUCCUAUUUCGGAGUACAAUGUUGAUGAUCAAGAUGAAGUUCGGAGACGGUACAUUGCAAAGAAUGCAGUCCAACCAUAUGCACACAACUUUGAAGUCAAGAAAAUGUAUGGUAAAAAUCGACACUUCAACUUUGUUUGGUUUAAGAACUAUAAAUGGCUAGAAUAUAGUGUCAAAUAUGAGACUGCAUUUUCCUGUGUUAUUUUUUCAAAGGCAAAUCGAAUGGGGGGCGGUGAUGCCUUUGUCAAAGGUGGUUGGAAAAAUUGGUAUAGGCCUGAUGCAUUAGACAAACAUGUGGGUGGUAUUAACAGCAUUCACAACAAAGCUCAAGAGAAGUACAAUUUAUUUGUGGCACCCCAACCAUCAAUUGAUAACAUUAUGGUGAGGGUGUCUAAAGAGGAUUUACGUAUGUACAAGGCUAGGCUGACUUAUUCACUUAGAUGCUUGAGGUUUCUUUUGAACUAAGGAUUGGCAUUUCGUGGACAUGAUGAGAGUGAAGAAUCUAGCAAUAGGGGGAACUUUCUUGAACUUCUUAAAUGGCUUUCGGAAAAUGACGAAGAAGUUAAUAAACAUGUAUUGAACAAUGCUCCUGGGAAUUGCAUCUUGACUAGUCCAAAGAUACAAAAUCAAAUAAUUGAAUGUUGUGUGGCACAAACAAAUAAAAGAAUUAUUGAAGAUAUUGGUGAUGACCACUAUGCAAUCCUAGACGAUGAGUCUAGUGAUGCAUCUCAUAAAGAGCAACUUGCUCUCUGCAUAUGAUUUGUUGACAAAUCGGGAAGAGGAUGUGAGAGGUUCCUUGGAGUUGUUCAUGUUGCCAAUACAACUUCAUUGUCAUUUAAGGAUGCAAUUCAAACUUUUCUUAAAGAUCAUCAUUUGACUCCUAUUCAAAUACGUGGGCAAGGAUAUGAUGGGGCUAACAACAUGAAAGGGGAGAUUAAAGGGUUGAAAACAUUGAUCAUGAAAGAGUCACCCUCUGCCUAUUACAUCCAUUGUUUUGCACAUCAACUUCAGUUGGUUCUUAUAGCUGUGGCAAAGGACAAUGAACCACGUUUUUGGUUCUUUGAUCAUGUUUCUUACUUGCUCAAUAUUGUUGGAGUUUCUUGUAAGUGCCAUGACAUGCUUCGAGAUGUUAGAGCUCAGAAGGUGUUGGAAGCACUUGAAAUGGGUGAGAUUGAAAGUGGAAGUGGGCUAAAUCAAGAGAUGUGACUAGCUAGACCCGACGACACUUGUUGGGGUUCUCAUUUUAAAACCAUUAUGCACAUUGUUAGCAUGUAUUACACAAUCCUUGAAGUACUUGAUGCUAUUGGAAAUGAUCUUUCACAAAAAAGUGAGUGGACAAGAAUACGUGGAGUUGCUCAAGCCUUUGAAUCAUUUGACUUUGUUUUCAAUCUUCACUUGAUGCUUGUUAUUCUUGGCUAUACAAACGAGUUGUCCAAAUCUUUGCAAAAGAGAGAUCAACAUAUUGUCAAUACAAUGACACUUGUUAGUUUGGCAAAGAGUAUAAUGCAACACAUGAGGUCUCAUGGUUGGGAAGAAUUUCUUGUAAAGCUAACCUUAUUUUGCAACAAACAUGACAUUGAAGUUCCUUUGUGGGAGGAUAUUUAUGAGCCUAAUCGAAGAUCACAUCGGUAUUAUGAAGUACAAACAAAUGAUGAUCGUUAUAGAAGAGAAGUAUAUCUUGGUGUCAUUGAUCAAACCAUUCAAGAGCUUGACAAUUGGUUUGAUGAGGUUAAUACGGAGUUGCUUAUUUGCAUGUCAGCUUUGAAUCCCCUCAAUUCAUUUGCUUCUUAUGAUGCACUCAAGGUAAUGAGACUUGCUGAAUUCUAUCCCAUGGACAUUUCAAGCACAUAUUUGAUAAGGCUAGAAUUUCAACUUACUAAUUUUAUUGAUGAUACGAGACAAGAUGAUAGGUUUAGAAAUGCAAGUAAUAUUGGUGAGCUCUCUAUUAUGCUUGUUGCAACAAAGAAGCAUGUUAUUUAUGAUUUGGUCUACUUACUCAUCAAAUUGAUAUUGAUUUUACCGGUGGCGACGACGAGUGUUGAAAGAGUAUUUUCAGCAAUGAAUCUAGUGAAAAAUAAGUUGAGGACUACUAUGAGUGAUGAUCACUUGAAUGAUUGCUUGGUGACAUUUAUUGAACGGGAUGUGUUCAUGGAAGUAAGCAAAGAUGACAUAGUUGAUGCUUUCAUGGCAAUGCAAAAACAUAGAGUUACCUACUUUUCCAAACACUUUUGCCCUUGUUUUGGACUCUAA